rnacentral:rRNA from 1 species
AUUGAACGCUGGCGGUAGGCCUAACACAUGCAAGUCGAACGGCAGCACAGUAAAGCCUGGUUCUUACGUGUGGCGAGGGGCGGGGGUGUGUGGUGUACGGCGGACUCUACUUUGUCGUGGGGUAUAACGUAGGGAAACUUGCUCUUAUAGCGCAUCGUCCCUAGGGGUGAGAGCAGGGGAUCUUCGGACCUUGCGCUAGUGAAUGAGCAGAUGUCGGAUUAGCUAGUGGGCGGGGUAAGGGCACACCAAGGCGACGAUCCGUAGCUGGUCUGAGAGGAUGACCAGCCACACUGGAACUGAGACACGGUCCAGACUCCUACGGGAGGCAGCAGUGGGGAAUAUUGGACAAUGGGCGCAAGCCUGAUCCAGCCAUACCGCGUGGAUGAAGAAGGCCUUCGGGUUGUAAAGCACUUUCGUCGGGAAAGAAAAGAAGAAGGUUAAUACCUUGCUGCAUUGACGGUACCCACAGAAGAAGCACCGGCUAACUUCGUG